rnacentral:rRNA from 1 species
AUUGAACGCUGGCGGCAGGCCUAACACAUGCAAGUAGAACGAGUGGCGGAGGGGUGAGUAAUGUCUGGGAAACUGCCUGAUGGAGGGGGAUAACUCCUGGAAACGGUAGAUAAUACCGCAUAACAUCGGAAGUGCCCAGAGGGGAUUAGCUAGUAGGGGGGGUAAAGGAUCACCUAGGCGACGAGCCGUAGCUGGUCUGAGAGAAUGACCAGCCACACUGGAACUGAGACACGGUCCAGACUCCUACGGGAGGAAGCAGUGGGGAAUAUUGCACAAUGGGCGCAAGCCUGAUGCAGCCAUGCCGCGUGUAUGAAGAAGGCCUUCGGUUUGUAAAGUACUUUCAGCUGGGAGGCGUUACCCGCAGAAGAAGCACCGGCUAACUCCGUGCCAGCAGCCGCGGUAAUUC